rnacentral:rRNA from 1 species
GACGAACGCUGGCGGCGUGCUUAACACAUGCAAGUCGAACGGGCCUUGUCCCCUUUUUUUUUGGGGGUGGGGUUAGUGGCGAACGGGUGAGUAACACGUGAGUAACCUGCCCCUCACUUCUGGAUAACCGCUUGAAAGGGUGGCUAAUACGGGGUGUUCUGGCCUGCUCGCAUGGGUGGGUUUGGAAAGAUUCGACCGGUUUUGGUUGUUUUGGUGGGGGAUGGGCUCGCGGCCUAUCAGCUUGUUGGUGGGGUGAUGGCCUGCCAAGGCUUUGACGGGUAGCCAGCCUGAGAGGGUGGGCGGUCACACUGGGACUGAGACACGGCCCAGACUCCUACGGGAGGCAGCAGUGGGGAAUAUUGCACAAUGGGCGCAAGCCUGAUGCAGCGACGCCGCGUGAGGGAUGGAGGCCUUCGGGUUGUGAACCUCUUUCGCCAGUGAAGAAGGUCCUGCUCUUUGUGGUGGGGUUGACGGUAGCUGGGUUAAUGAAGCGCCGGCUAACUACGUG